rnacentral:rRNA from 1 species
GGCCCGCACAAGCGGUGGAGUAUGUGGUUUAAUUCGACGCAACGCGCAGAACCUUACCCAGCCUUGACAUCCCUGGACAACCGUAGAGAUACGGCUUUCUCUCGCAAGAGAGACCGGGUGACAGGUGCUGCAUGGCUGUCGUCAGCUCGUGUCGUGAGAUGUUCGGUUAAGUCCGGUAACGAGCGCAACCCCUGUCCUUAGUUGCCAUCAUUCAGUUGGGCACUCUAAGGAGACUCCCGGUGUUAAACCGGCGGAAGAUGGGGAUGACGUCAAGUCCUCAUGGCCCUUACGGCUGGGGCUACACACGUACUACAAUGGCAACUACAAAGAGCAGCGAAGUCGCGAGGCCAAGCAAAUCUCAAAAAAGUUGCCUCAGUUCGGAUUGGAGUCUGCAACUCGACUCCAUGAAGUUGGAAUCGCUAGUAAUCGU